GUUCCUUUCAUCUAGGGGUUAGGAUGUCACCUUUUCAUGGUGGAAACACGAGUUCGAAUCUCGUAAGGAAUG
rnacentral:tRNA from 1 species